AAUAGUUUGUUGUCGGUAUGGCUGCAGCUUCAGAAACACCCAAUAGCCCACAGUAAACUCCCUUUCAAUCCUGUGUUGAUCAAUAAAAUACUUCAUUAUUUGCUGAGUUUUGACUAAGUUAUCCUUGAUGCAGUUGGCAAUCCUGUUCCUCUCUUGGAUCAUGUCAGAAGCUGCAGGUACCACUGAUUCCAAGUAAGGACCUAGAGGUAAGGGUACUGGUUUGUAUCCAAACAAUGCCUCAAAUGGAGUCAUUUUAAGACUGGAAUGGUAAGUAGAGUUGUACCAGCACUCAGCCAUUGCCAACCACUUGCUCCACUGGGAAGGCAUUUCCCCAGUCAUGCACCUUAGAUAAUUUUCCACACACUGGUUCAGUCAUUCACUUUGUCCAUCAGAUUGGGGAUGAUAAGAUGAUGAAUAAUGUAGUUCUGUACCCAUCACCUUGAAUAACUCCCUCCAAAAGCCACUAGUAAAGAUCCUAUCUCUGUCAGUAAUGAUGGAUUCUGGUAGACCAUGCAGUCUG
rnacentral:lncRNA from 1 species